AAUGAACGCUGGCGGCGCGCCUAAUACAUGCAAGUCGAGCGAGAAGACGUAGCAAUACGUUUGUAAAGCGGCGAACGGGUGAGGAAUACAUGGGGUAACCUACCCUCGAGUGGGGAAUAACUAGCCGAAGGUUAGCUAAUACCGCGUACGCUCCUUGGACUUCGGUUCAGGGAGGAAAGCGAUACCGUGGGUAUCGCGCUCUUGGAUGGGCUCAUGUCCUAUCAGCUUGNGGUGAGGUAACGGCUCACCAAGGCUUCGACGGGUAGCUGGUCUGAGAGGACGAUCAGCCACACUGGCACUGCGACACGGGCCAGACUCCUACGGGAGGCAGCAGUAAGGAAUAUUGCGCAAUGGGCGAAAGCCUGACGCAGCGACGCCGCGUGGGGGAGUGAAGGUC
rnacentral:rRNA from 1 species